ensembl:lncRNA
UCUUCCCAAGACGUCACAUUCCCAGGUCCACUACCUUCGCUCUGACCCUCUCUAGCCGUCCCCUGACUCAGCAAACCAGACAAUAACCUCACGUCAUCUAGGUGGUCCAGUAAUAAAACGCCAGCUCCCACUUGAAAACACUUCAUGCUUAAGUGGUCUCUGCUCCUUUCCUGGGUCCCUCUCUAGUGGAAAUCUAGUGGAAUGGACCCUCGUCAUCAAUCACUAAGUAAACUAAAUUGGCGCAGGUCUCAAAUAAGAAGCAGAAGACACUUGGGCCCUCGCUCAGGCCUGCUACUAGAUUUAUGUGUAUUGUAAGCAUGCAUGCAAUUAACCUGCUAUGUUCCCAUCUUCCCUCAACAUGUAUCACCUGGACACUCUCACCAGUGAAGCUUAAAACCCUCUUGGAUAGAACAUCAACUCUAAACAAGCACAGAUAUGCAAUGUGUAUAAAAUGAACUAAACCUGUGAAUAGAAUGAAUGUGAUGACAAACAUGUUCAAUGCAAUAUGAACCCUGUAAACAAUAUUACUGAUAAACAAUGUUUCCUUAUUAUUUUGUCAUAAAAUAAAUCAAACCAAUAACUUAAGCUGUGUGACGGCACCUUGCGUUUACGCCAGGCUGUGAGCUGCCCUAAAUCUACUUGCUACACCCCCUUUUUCACCUAGUCUAAUUUUUUCAAUCCUAGUUUAAACUAUUCCUAACUUCCCUCAGUGCACACUGUAAAGUGUAAAAGAUACAAUUAGCUUUCUCCUGGUAAAAGGUCCUACAUUAUUUUCUCAACCUUUGGAAACCUCCUCUAUCGAGUUAACCCCUUUCAUUUUUUCAAACUUAGGCCUGAUUUCUUCGCCCCCUUUAACGGGUAGCGCCUAUCCGGUCUGAACACUGUGUUUGGGCAAUUUACAAAUUGUUCCAGGAUUUCUAUGUUAUGUAAAUUUCCUCUCAUCCCUUUUAUGCUUCCAUUAUAACCUGUGUCUAACAAGCUUUUGACCUUUUUUGUAACAUAAACAACUAGGUGUAUUUGUGCUCUGUUUUUCUCCUUUCUCUGGUUGGUUCCGUUCGGUCUGGGGCUUCCAGGAUUCUCGCCCCCCUAAGUCGCUGUGGUCCUGAAAUCUUCUCCUGUAAAAGAUAGAAAACAAAAAGCCUCUCUCUGCUACACCUCACUAAUCUAUUGUGUUCAUCCAAUGUUCCUUUAAUUAUUCAAACUUGGUUCACAAUAUCAUGUUCUGGGCUUUAUCCUUUUUAUUAACUUUACUUAAUCUCAAUACUCUUUAUGUGUGUGAGCAACGCUUUUAGUUUUAUUAAACACACCCCGGGUAAAAUAUACACCAUCCCCAUGUCAGCCUACCUCUCCUCUAGAAAGCACGCUUCAAAAUUUCUAUCAGGAUUUACACCUCUUUUUGCUUCAAGCAUAUACCUAACUUGCAAAAAUUACUGUUAAUGCCAGUUACACAAGUUUCCAUUAUUUACAACAUUUUGUUUCACCCGUCUCACCCUCACAUGUUUCCUGUUCACUUAUUACAUACUUAUCUUUAACACCGUCUGCCUCACUAGUUGCUUAGCAGAAACAAAGCACCAUGUGUUCCACCUUUGCCCUAUAAACUAAAUCUAUGUCAUGUUUGUGUCUGUAAGCAUGUUUUGCAUUCAUUCAUUACACUCCACGCCAUCCCUGCAAGUUAAGAGCUAUACAGUUAAAAGCUACAGGCCUUUGGCCUCGCCUAUUUUAAAUCAAGCAGGAGAGUUUCAUUUUGCUUUAAAAAUAACUCUAUUUAAAAUAACAAUUUCUGCCUCAGUUUUACCAUAUCUAAAUUAUCAACAACCCCAAAAGUCAUAAAAUGAUCCUAGAACCCAUCUCAAAUUACCUCUUAAAUUCCCCCUUUAUAUUUGGACACACCAGAUGUGUCCAAAUAAAUAAAAACUCAAAAACUCAAAAUGCAUCACCCGGGCUUAAGAACUUAAAAGAAAAAGGUUAGUCAUAUCAUCUCUCCAAACACCUCAGUCAUCCUCCUCUCCGGUAGAUCUGCUCCAGCCCUGAAAACCUGUGUUUAAGGAAUAAAAUCAAUUUAAUCAUCAUGUCAAAUCUUCUCGAACUCCUUGCUCCAUGCAAGAGUCUGGAUCCUUGGAAUUUCCUGGAAACAAAACCUGUACUUUACAUUUCAUACUCAACUCUCCCCCUUUAUGAUCCAAUCUGUGUUACAAUAAAGAAAACUUAAAUGGUAACAUGAGCUAUAUCAAAAAAUGUUUCCCUUUUAGCAUUUAGCAUUUUAUAAUGUAAUAACAUAAUCCAACCCCAGUACAUAAAACAAAAAUUCCCUCCAAGCAAACAUCAGCAUCCCCAGAAUUAAAUCUUCCACUUGUCCUGCUCAUGGCAAAAGCAAAACAAAGCAUCCCCUUUCUUUUCCUCACAUGGUAAAUUGUCUGUCCACAUUUACUCGUUCCCACCUUAGUCCAGUCAUUCACAUUCACUCACAUGCAUUCACACAUGAUAUUUUUGCUGAUCUGCAGCCCUCUGCAUGCGAUCAUCAGAUGCUCCACAUCAGCAAAAUGAGCUCAACCAUUUGUUUUAUUUCGUUUUUCCUUUUUAGAAAAUAGUUCUCUAUACUUUUGACUGGAUUGACUCGCUGCAAUCCUUACUUGGUAAUUUGUCCGCGCCCGUCAGUUCACUCUCUUCCAGGCCUGCUUAGAGCAAAAUGAGAAAAAAGAGAGCUGAUUGUUAGCUCAUCAAAGUACAAAACAAAAUCACCUGACAGGUUUUUUCUAAGUGCACUGUUAUAAAAACUAUGGGCCCUUUUAGACAUGUCCAUGUUUAUCAAAACUCCCUCUAUUAAAAUGAAAUACAACAGCCCCAAAAAAUCUUAAACCAUCUUAAAUUUCACCCAAUCAACGCACUGAAAACCUUGUCAAAACUGCACCGUUUUACACACAACCAUGUCCCCUUAGACACUUCACCAUACUCAGAUUCAGCCUAACACCUUACAACAAUGUGUCAACACUAAUUUAUAAACCUCCUAAUCAAAUUUGCACCUCUGAACAAUCUACCCCUCCUUUAAGGCCUCAAUCACACACACACAGCCAGCUCCUCUGUCCACAUUCACACAAGCUCUCAAACUUUUUCCAUACUCAGCCAUAUCUCAACAAUUUAACUUGGCAAAAGAAAUACAUGUUUAAACUUUAUCACAUUAUUGAAUUAUUUUCAUUUUCUUUCUAUACUAAUCACUUAUUUUGAUCACUCAGUGCAAGAGCACUCCUAAUUCACCCUUAUAAACACUUUUCUUUUGUUUUUUCCAUCUAUUUUAAAUCUUUCCAUCAAUUUUAUUAACCAUUCACACCAUUCUCUCACUCAUACAAGCAGCAAGCAGAUCUUCAUUGCAUAUGCUUAUGUUCUUAGCCAGGUUUUAAAUCAAUAUCUCUAUGCAUUAAGCUUUGAUUAGACAAGCUUCAUGAGCUUGUCUUUGUACGGUUAAUACAUUUUCUGUUUGUGUGUGGUAUUUUGCAUCUAUGGCUUCGCAAUCUGUCAGACACCUUUCCAAUUCUCCAGUUAAGCAGUCAAUUUUCUUUUUCCCCGAAUUACUAACCCUCUGUUUUGAUUUCCCACCUUAAAUAAAGCACUCCUAGUCUUCAGCCAGGAGCUAGGGCCUGUUUUCCAGGUUCAUGGACACAUGAUUCUGUGAACAAUUCAACCAGAAACUUGCCUUAACUUAUCCAGUGAUGUUAACUUCUAACUUUCUUCCGACUGCUGCUGUGGAAAGUUGGUACGGUUCUGCUUUACCCCUGAAAAUAACAAAACUAAGACAUUUUCAUUAUUACCACAGGUACUUAAAUGACCCAUUUCUCUGUCUCUAGUCAGAAAUACCAAUUAUGCCAUGCAUGUAAGCGUGUUCUUCCUUGCAUUUUACAUUAAUUGAGUGUAAGCUGCUUCUUCAUUAAAUUAAUUCAUUGAGUUUCUCAUUGCAUUUCUAUGUAUUCAUGUUAAUGUACACUACGUGUAAGCUGUUUCUUCAUUGCAUCCUAUAUAUUCAUAUUUAAUUUGUGCAUUUCACCACUGAGCUUUAGAUUCAAACUAUCUCACUACUGAUUCAUUUCAAAAAUAAUCUCACAUGUAACAAUUUGUAUGUGUGUUUUCCAUUCAUUAAGGUAAUGACAAUUAUUUUCUUUCAUUAUUCUUACCUUUUCUAAUGUUUACCUCUUUGUUAUGCUAUGGUGGACAUCCCUAAACAAUUCAUGAGUUCAGGUUUCAAUUUUCAAUCCAAUUAUAUCCUAUAUUCUCGCAGUCAAACUCGUCCAGCUUCAUCUCUCACUGGUCCCUCUUUGGACAAUGUCCUGUUCGGGCUCCAAAGCUCCAGCAAACACAGUCUCAACUCAGCUGCUGUCUUCUUCUCUGUUCCUUUACAGUCUUUCUUUCAGAUUAAGUCCCAGCAUGGCAAAAUAUCACUCAAUGUCCAGUGCUCUUCCACAAUUCUUUAUCCCACUGUUCAACUGCCCAGCCUGUAUUUUCACAGUACAUCUUGCAUUACUCUUACAUGCUGCUGCUGGUCGUCAGUCGUCAUCAGUGUUAAUGGAUCAGUGGCACUGUCGUUUGCCUGCUGUAUUCAAGUCCACGAUGUUCUAUCGGUCUUCAUCAGGCGAUUGACUGUCCUUUGAACUUCUUCUCCGCUUCAGGGACAAAGUGAGAGAUCAACUGCACAAUUUCGAGCCAAAGCCUGGCUUAUUCUCCCAAUUCUGUUAAUCUAUUGUUCUGCUGCUGCACUCAAGGUUCCAAAGUUGAAAGACGUCCACCUGUAUUGACACACUAGAGCAUACAAUUAGUAUUAUAUUCAUUUUUAUCUUAAAACCUCGAUUUGCUCCAUCUUCUUAGAAUUUAACUCUGUCCAUUUCUCUGGGUGCUCCCCUGACAUCAUCAGUCACACACACACCUUCCUCUCACACACACAGCAGCACAGUAUUUCCUGUUUCUCUUUCCUGUUUCUACAAAUUAAUCAACCACUUGUUUUUUCAUAUUUACAGUCUACAAACCCUCUUUUAGUUUUACUAAGUCUUGGUCUAAAAACAAUACACCUUCCUUUCAUACACACUUUUAAAUAGAGCUCUUUCAGACAUAAAAAUAAACUCAACCUCUCAUACCAUCACUCAUGCAUUUCUUGAAUUAAAAGCACUUUCAAACUUUAAAACAUCCUACUUUACAUCACAAAAGAAAUAUAUAUAUACUUUUAAAUGUUCUAACCUCUUUCAUACGCCAUAAAUCGUCUCACACACACUGCCUCUUCUCUCAAACUUCUCCCUUUUUCACUCACUCAGACAAAUCAUUCAGAGACAUUCAAAUCAAAUACUGACAGCAUUCACACAGUUAAAAUCACUCAAAAUACGCUUUCAUACGAGUAUCUUGGACAUGCCUUCCAUAAUCAGAAAGAGCAAGUCAAAAGGAAAAAAGAAAACUGAAACCUCUCAUCGUCUCACACACAGCUUCUCACCACACACACAUAACUGAAAAAUAAAACACACCAGCCUUUAUGGCUCAAAAUAUAUACAUCUAUCAAAAUUCAGUCACUUACUAUACAUCCACUACAGCAACUCAAAACUUUAUUUAUAACCCUCUAAUAAACAUAAAUGGCGUCUUAAACACACGCAUUCAACAAUGUUUGCAGCAAUACUUGUGAAACCAACUGUGGUUUAAGCAGUUCACAGCUUCUUAAUUUGCAUUUUAUUGCCUUCUAGGACAUUCUAGUCUCUAAUUCCUCUGUUUUCAUGUUAUCUCCGUUUGACACACACAAACACCACAAACACACACUCCCC